CAUCUUCAGUAGGAAGUUUUUAUCAUCUUCCAUCAUACCUGAAGUUAUAUGAUGUCUUGAAAGCAACCCAUGCUAAUUACAAGGUUACUUUGGAUCUCCAGAACACUAAUGAGAAGUUUGGAUGUUUCUUACGGUCUGCCUUAGAUGUUCUCUCUCAAAUCUUGGAACUUGCUACUCUUCAGGACAUUGGAAAGUGUGUGGAAGAAAUUCUGGGAUAUCUAAAAUCAUGUUUCAACAGAGAGCCAACAAUGGCAACAGUUUGUGUACAGCAGGUA